GUUGGCCGAGCUAAACCAAAAUCACAUAUCUUUAAGUCGCAAUUUGCAUUUAACAGCAAAUUACUGGGUUUUAGAUCUCUAUGAAUAAUAUUAGCAGAGUGUAUGCAUUUCAGCCCUCGAAGAAUCUGAUACAGGAAGUACUGACAAUGCUCCUCUGACAAACUUUGGUUGGAGCGUAUAAUCUGAUGAAGAUCAGUGUCCAUGAGCUCUGUGG
rnacentral:misc_RNA from 1 species